ACUCCUACGGGAGGCAGCAGUGGGGGAAUAUUGCACAAUGGGCGCAAGCCUGAUGCAGCCAUGCCGCGUGUGUGAAGAAGGCCUUCGGGUUGUAAAGCACUUUCAGUCGUGAGGAAGGUAGUGUAGUUAAUAGCGCACUUUUACUUGGUUAGCGUUAGCGACAGAAGAAGCACCGGCUAACUCCGUGCCAGCAGCCGCGGUAAUACGGAGGGUGCGAGC
rnacentral:rRNA from 1 species